GAAGCUGACAAACCGAAAGCGUCAAAAGAGCUCAAGUUGUGUUCCUGCUGCACAAGAGCGUCUGUACUUCUGCAGGUGAUGGUCAGCGGCUGAUUGUUUCCUGAAAGCUCUGCUAAUGUCUGCAUUGGUGUUUUAGCUGCAGUAUGGCAGAGGAGCGAGUAAAGGACUCUCUCUCAGAGAAACACAGUGUGAGAUCAGGAUCAUGUGUGUCUCUGAAGAGUGACCAGUCUAAAGGCAAUCCACCAGAGUUCAGAGAGAAAACCCCAUCA